rnacentral:rRNA from 1 species
UGGGGAAUUUUGGACAAUGGGGGAAACCCUGAUCCAGCCAUCCCGCGUGUGCGAUGAAGGCCUUCGGGUUGUAAAGCACUUUUGGCAGGAAAGAAACGUCGCGGGUUAAUACCCCGCGAAACUGACGGUACCUGCAGAAUAAGCACCGGCUAACUACGUGCCAGCAGCCGCGGUAAUACGUAGGGUGCAAGCGUUAAUCGGAAUUACUGGGCGUAAAGCGUGCGCAGGCGGUUCGGAAAGAAAGAUGUGAAAUCCCAGAGCUUAACUUUGGAACUGCAUUUUUAACUACCGGGCUAGAGUGUGUCAGAGGGAGGUGGAAUUCCGCGUGUAGCAGUGAAAUGCGUAGAUAUGCGGAGGAACACCGAUGGCGAAGGCAGCCUCCUGGGAUAACACUGACGCUCAUGCACGAAAGCGUGGGGAGCAAACAGGAUUAGAUACCCUGGUAGUCCACGCCCUAAACGAUGUCAACUAGCUGUUGGGGGCCUUCGGGCCUUGGUAGCGCAGCUAACGCGUGAAGUUGACCGCCUGGGGAGUACGGUCGCAAGAUUAAAACUUAAAUGAAUUGACGGGGGUCAUA